rnacentral:tRNA from 1 species
GGAUUGUGGCUCAGUGGCAGAGUACUUGCGUCGCAUGUAAGAGGCACUGGGUUCAAUCCUCAGCACCA